rnacentral:rRNA from 1 species
GUGGGGAAUUUUGGACAAUGGGGGCAACCCUGAUCCAGCCAUGCCGCGUGCGGGAAGAAGGCCUUCGGGUUGUAAACCGCUUUUGUCAGGGAAGAAAUCCUUUGGGUUAAUACCUCGGAGGGAUGACGGUACCUGAAGAAUAAGCACCGGCUAACUACGUGCCAGCAGCCGCGGUAAUACGUAGGGUGCGAGCGUUAAUCGGAAUUACUGGGCGUAAAGAGUGCGCAGGCGGUUUUGUAAGAUCGAUGUGAAAUCCCCGGGCUCAACCUGGGAACUGCAUUGGUGACUGCAAGGCUGGAGUGCGGCAGAAGGGGAUGGAAGUCCGCGUGUAGCAGUGAAAUGCGUAGAUAUGCGGAGGAACACCGAUGGCGAAGGCAAUCCCCUGGGCCUGCACUGACGCUCAUGCACGAAAGCGUGGGGAGCAAACAGGAUUAGAUACCCCAGUAGUCC